GUACUCCUGCCGUGUUCGAGAAUGUAUGGUUUUUAUAAUCCAACACUUUUUAAAAGGGAUGCCCCGCUCCGGCACUGGAUUGCAGACCUCCCGCUUUUGCGGACGAAGGGAGCGUGAAGGUGCUGGGCAGCAACCCACCUGUCCAUACGACGGGUUUUAAUUUGCCAUGGCGACGGCACGGUGGGGUAUU
rnacentral:other from 1 species